rnacentral:rRNA from 1 species
CCUACGGGAGGCAGCAGUGAGGAAUAUUGGUCAAUGGGCGUAAGCCUGAACCAGCCAAGUCGCGUGAGGGAUGAAGGUUCUAUGGAUCGUAAACCUCUUUUAUAAGGGAAUAAAGUGUGGGACGUGUCCUAUUUUGCAUGUACCUCAUGAAUAAGGAUCGGCUAAUUCCGUGCCAGCAGCCGCGGUAAUACGGAGGGUCCGAGCGUUAUCCGGAUUUAUUGGGUUUAACGGGUGCGUAGGCGGCAUUUUAAGUCAGCGGUGAAAGUCUGUGGCUCAACCAUAGAAUUGUCGUUGAAACUGGGGGCCUUGAGUAUGUGUGAGGCAGGCGGAAUGCGUGGUGUAGCGGUGAAAUGCUUAGAUAUCACGAAGAACCCUGAUUGCGAAGGCAGCCUGCCAAGCCAUGACUGACGCUGAUGCACGAAAGCGUGGGGAUCAAACAGGAUUAGAUACCCGUGUAGUC